rnacentral:rRNA from 1 species
AACACAUGCAAGUCGAACGAGAAUUAAUCCCGGUUAAUUCUAGUGGCGGACGGGUGAGUAACACGUGAGAAUUCGCCUUUAGGAGGGGGAUAACGGAUGGAAACAUUCGCUAAAACCCCAUAUGCCCUCGGGUGAAAAAGAGAAAGUAAGUCAUACUGAUUUAUCUCUGCCUGAAGAGAAGCUCGCGGCUGAUUAGCUAGUUGGUAGGGUAAAGGCCUACCAAGGCGACGAUCAGUAGCUGGUCUGAGAGGACGAUCAGCCACACUGGAACUGAGACACGGUCCAGACUCCUACGGGAGGCAGCAGUGAGGAAUUUUCUGCAAUGGGCGAAAGCCUGACAGAGCAAUACCGCGUGGGGGAUGAAGACUUACUGAGUUGUAAACCUCGGUACCCUAAGGAAGAAGAUAUGACGGUACUUAGGGUGGAAAGCAUCGGCUAACUCCGUGCCAGCAGCCGCGGUAAGACGGGGGAUGCAAGUGUUAUCCGGAUUUACUGGGCGUAAAGCGUCCGCAGGUGGUCUCUUAAGUCUACUGUUAAAUCUUGAGGCUCAACCUCAAAUCUGCAGUAGAAACUAGGAGACUUGAGUAUAGUAGGGGUAGAGGGAAUUUCCAGUGGAGCGGUGAAAUGCGUAGAUAUUGGAAAGAACACCGAUGGCGAAGGCACUCUACUGGGCUAUUACUGACACUCAGAGACGAAAGCUAGGGGAGCAAAUGGGAUUAGAUACCCCAGUAGUCCUAGCCGUAAACGAUGGAUACUCGAUGUUGGACGUAUCGACCCGUUCAGUAUCUUAGCUAACGCGUUAAGUAUCCCGCCUGGGGGAGUACGCUCGCAAGAGUGAACUCAAAGGAAUUGACGGGGGCCCGCACAGCGGUGGAGGAUGUGGUUUAAUUCGAUGCACGCGAGAUCUUACAGGUUUGCUAGAGUGUGGUUUCUGAAAGAUCUAUCGCUCUACAGUGUGCAUGCUGUCGUCAGCUCGUGUCUGAGAUGUGGUAAGUC